rnacentral:rRNA from 1 species
CACCAAGAGAUUGAGUCGUAUGCGUUGGUAAAAAGAUAGUUAUGUAUAAAAUAAAUAAGUUUCUUGAUUGCUUAUUGAAAGGUAAAAUUUGGAUAUAGGUAAAAUAAACCGGGAAUGACUUAAAGAUGCUGAACCUAUGACAGCCUUAUGAGAAACUGGGAUUGGAUACCCCAUUAUUUUUGGUUGUAAAUUGAUAAUAUCUACCUGAGUACUAUGAACAUGAUCGUUUAAAACUCAAAGGGCUUGGCGGUGUUUUAGAUCAUUCAGGGGAACCUGUUUCGUAAUCGACAAUCCGCGAAAAACCUAACCUUUUUUUGUUUCUUCAGCUUGUAUACCGUCGUCGUCAGGUAACUUUUAAAAAUAGAAAAGCUAGCUAAUAAACUUCUAAGUUUAGACGUCAGAUCAGGGUGCAGUUUAUGGAAAGGUGAGAAUGGGUUACAAUUAUUUAUUUAUAAUUACGGAAGGUUAAACAAAAUGUUAACUUUGAAGGCGGACUUGAAAGUAAUUUUAAGUAUAUAAAUAGUGUGAAUCAGACUCUGAAACGUGC